AACGAACGCUGGCGGCAUGCCUAACACAUGCAAGUCGAACGAGACCUUCGGGUCUAGUGGCGCACGGGUGCGUAACGCGUGGGAAUCUGCCCUUGGGUUCGGAAUAACAGUUGGAAACGACUGCUAAUACCGGAUGAUGACGUAAGUCCAAAGAUUUAUCGCCCAAGGAUGAGCCCGCGUAGGAUUAGCUAGUUGGUGAGGUAAAGGCUCACCAAGGCGACGAUCCUUAGCUGGUCUGAGAGGAUGAUCAGCCACACUGGGACUGAGACACGGCCCAGACUCCUACGGGAGGCGGCAGUGGGGAAUAUUGGACAAUGGGCGAAAGCCUGAUCCAGCAAUGCCGCGUGAGUGAUGAAGGCCUUAGGGUUGUAAAGCUCUUUUACCCGGGAUGAUAAUGACAGUACCGGGAGAAUAAGCUCCGGCUAACUCCGUG
rnacentral:rRNA from 1 species